rnacentral:rRNA from 1 species
UACGAAGGGGACUAGCGUUGUUCGGAUUUACUGGGCGUAAAGCGCGCGUAGGCGGAUCGCUAAGUCAGGGGUGAAAUCCCAGGGCUCAACCCUGGAACUGCCUUUGAUACUGACGGUCUGGAGAUCGGGAGAGGUUGGUGGAAUUCCGAGUGUAGAGGUGAAAUUCGUAGAUAUUCGCAAGAACACCAGUGGCGAAGGCGGCUCACUGGCCCGGUACUGACGCUGAGGUGCGAAAGCGUGGGGAGCAAACAGG